UGCGGGGUAGCAAUAUUCCGCAGUCGGAGCGGCGCAAGGGUGCGUAACACGUGGGCAAUUUGCCGUGAAGCCUGGAAUAACUCGCUGAAAGGCGAGCUAAUGCCGGAUGUGAUUUCUGGAGGGCAUCCUCCGGAACUUAAAGCUGGGGACCGUAAGGCCUGGCACUUCACGAUAAGCCCGCGGCCUAUCAGCUAGUUGGUGAGGUAACGGCUCACCAAGGCUAAGACGGGUAGCUGGUCUGAGAGGACGACCAGCCACACUGGAACUGAGACACGGUCCAGACACCUACGGGUGGCAGCAGUCGAGAAUUUUUCACAAUGGGCGAAAGCCUGAUGGAGCGACGCCGCGUGGGGGAUGAAUGGCUUCGGCCCGUAAACCCCUGUCAUUUGCGAUCAACCGUUGUUAUUUAAAAGAUGACAGCCUGAUAGUAGCGAAAGAGGAAGGGACGGCUAACUCUGUGCCAGCAGCCGCGGUAAUACAGAGGUCCCAAGCGUUGUUCGGAUUCACUGGGCGUAAAGGGUGCGUAGGCGGUCGGGUAAGUCUGAUGUGAAAUCUCGGAGCUCAACUCCGAAACGGCAUCGGAUACUAUCCGGCUCGAGGAGCGGAGGGGAGACUGGAAUUCUCGGUGUAGCAGUGAAAUGCGUAGAUAUCGAGAGGAACACCAGUGGCGAAGGCGAGUCUCUGGACACCUCCUGACGCUGAGGCACGAAAGCCAGGGG
rnacentral:rRNA from 1 species